UAUGUGUGAAAAGUUGCAGCACUAUUCCAUGCCAUAGUUGUGCACCAAACACAUCUGUUAGCUUACAUUUUUCUUAAAACUAAAAUUCUUGAAUCCAGUAAUUUCAGAACAUACUGAAUGAAACUCUGACCAUGGAGACCAAGAAAAAACAUCUCAAGAAAUAUGCCAUUCUCUUUCCAAGGCUUCUAGCAUUGAUCGCGACUUUUUUGGCUGCCAUUAUCACAGCUACGAGCCAUGAAAAAGCUAGGAUCUUCACCAUCUCUUUCGAAGCCAAGUACAGUGAUUCACCAGCUUUAAAGUACUUUGUAAUUGCAAAUGUAAUUGCAAGCAUCUACGGUCUCCUGCUGCUGUUUCUACCUCUAGACAACUCUUUCUGGCGAUUCAUUGUAGUCCCUGACGUCGUUGUGAUAAUGUUACUGAGUACAAGCAUAUCAGCAGCAUUAGCCAUAGCACAUGUGGGGAAAAAAGGGAAUUAUCAUGCUGGUUGGUUACCGAUAUGUGGUCAGUUUCACAAGUACUGUGACCAAGUUACUGCAGGUUUGGCUGCUGGUUUUGUAGGAAUUGUCGUGUAUUUACUGCUUGUGUUGUAUUCUUUUUACUCCCUCUUUCACCAUUCCUUACAUAUAUAAUCAUCUUUAAAUUCGGCAAAGGGGGCUAUCUUCUCACAUGUAAUGUAACACAGUAGCAACUGAAUCAGCAUUAUUAUUUUUUAGUUUAUAUUUUUUAGAUCUAUGGGUUGAUUAUGAUUUUGUGAUGAAUGUGGAGUUUAUAACUUGAGCAUCAGCGGCCACAUAUUUUUACUGACUUGUAACAAGAAUUCAGCACCAAGGAUCACAAAGCAUCCGGUAUUCGAGGAUGUCAUGACCAAGGUUCCCAUUCA